rnacentral:rRNA from 1 species
UGGGGAAUAUUGGGCAAUGGAGGCAACUCUGACCCAGCAACGCCGCGUGAAUGAUGAAGGUCUUCGGAUUGUAAAGUUCUUUUCUAAGGGAAGAAGAAAGUGACGGUACCUUAGGAAUAAGCCUCGGCUAACUACGUGCCAGCAGCCGCGGUAAUACGUAGGAGGCAAGCGUUAUCCGGAAUGACUGGGCGUAAAGGGUGCGUAGGUGGUUCAGCAAGUUAGUAGCGUAACUCCGGGGCUCAACCUCGGCACUACUACUAAAACUGUUGGACUUGAGUGCAGGAGGGGCAACUGGAAUUCCUA